CAAUAGCGUAUAUUAAAGUUGUUGCAGUUAAAAAGCUCGUAGUUGGAUUUCUGGUGGGAGCGAUCGGUCUGGCGCUUAGCGCGAGUACUUGCAUCGUCUCCGGCCAUCCUUGGGGAGAGUCUGUCUGGCAUUAGGUUGUCGGGCAGAGGAUCCUCAUCGUUUACUGUGAAAAAAUUAGAGUGUUCAAAGCAGGCUUAUGCCGUUGAAUAUAUUAGCAUGGAAUAAUAAGAUAGGACUUUGGUACUAUUUUGUUGGUUUGCGCACCAAAGUAAUGAUUAAUAGGGGCAGUUGGGGGUAUUCGUAUUCCGUUGUCAGAGGUGAAAUUCUUGGAUUUACGGAAGACGAACUACUGCGAAAGCAUUUACCAAGGAUGUUUUCAUUAA
rnacentral:rRNA from 1 species